GGUCGUCACAGUUACAAAAUCUCAUUCGUACAAGAAAAUACAAGAGGAGAGAAAAAGAAGAUCACAGCGACUUUGUUCCUCCAUCUCAGCCGGCUCUGAUCUGCCCGAGGAUUUAAGUCUCGCUCUGCGCCUCUCAAGUAUCUUCAUCCAGGUCAUUCGACUCGCUGACUCUGCUGAGAGAGAUUCAAUCUGAGCAGGUGAUACAUGAGCAGUUUUCACCAUCAGCUCCACCUGAUGCAGACAGACGAUGAAGAGCAGCGACGCCGAGAGGACGCCACCCUCGUGUUGACCAGAGAUUUGUUCAGGAGAAAUACUUUCCAGCCGAUGACGAGGUCGCUGAAGGUUUAAUGUCUCAACGUUGCCCUUCCUGGAUAUCUCCGUCACAGCCGCUCAUUAAAAUUCACAAUGUGUUGUGACGCACUAAUAACUGCUGCUCAUCUCCCCCCUGCAGCCUGCAGAGGAGCCUCUUUUUUCUCCAUUUACUGCUGCUGUCACACUGCUUAUUUCCAUUCACUGGCCAGUUGGUUUCCCUAUUUAAAGCAAAUUAAAAGCAGCAGUUAGCCAUUGA